GGUAUUCCUUAUCUGUGUCUAAUUUCGUUGAAUUGUCUGGAACCUGUCUCUCUGUGCUCUGAUCCUCUGCAAAACACAGAGAGACAGGUCCUUCGUGAGUCACAUACCGUUAUCGGGUACGUG
rnacentral:sRNA from 1 species